UGGGAACACCAGACUGCGCAGUUUCAUCCACGCAGGUGAUAAGUGCGACCGGAAAUGAGCCUUGCACCCAAGUUGACUAGCUAGCAAUUAGCUGUGGUUAGAAAAGCGACUCAUUGUCAACACCUGAAGAAAGGAGGCCUCGGAGACUGAGGUGGGCAACUAGUGAGUAAAAUUACUCCAGAAAUAACGCAUGUGUACACCUGUGCUUGGUGCGAGUAAAGCUAACACCUAAACAUCCUGCGUCGACCCUUCUCCUGCUUGUGACAAUGGCUGAUUAAACCAGGUUUACCUGCAGACUCACCCUUUUAUAAAUAAAAGGCACAGUCAUUUUUUGUGCAUAACAUAAGUGAAGGCUCAGGUGACGCAGCUACCUACAAUGACUUACUGGACGCCUGAAGCUGUUUAAACGGUGUGGUAUGAAAGACCCAGUGACAUCUAGCAGUGAGGUUGCAGAUCACAACAUUCAACAAAUCUUUCAAACAGUGAUCAUCGUAAAGUGUGUCCUUGACCGCACAGGGGACACCACAGGAGUGACGUGUCCAGGUCCAGAUGCUGCGGUCUAUGAAAACACGACGUGGGCGAACCCCCUCUCUCAGAGGGUCUGGAGUUCAGAGCUGUUAUAACAUGAGAGGACAGCGGGAUUAGGCGAAAACCUACAGCUGUGGCUGGAUGUGUGUGUGAGGGAGAAAGAGUGGAUACAAAAGAUGAAGGAUGGGCGGUAGAUUGAAGCAUGGAAAGAUUGUGUUUACGAGCACAAGGUGGCUGUAUUUGUGCUGAGCUGAUUUCAGUCAAGAAUGUGUAGAAGUGUGAAUAUAAAAGUGUUGAAUGAUGGUGGCAAGGCUCAGGUGACCUCCUCAGGAUGGAAACAUGGCAAAUAAA